GGGACUGGCGCGUGCUACCAUGCAGUCGAGCGAGGACAUUUAGCAAUAGAUGUUCGAGCGGCGGACGGGUGAGUAACGCGUGAACAAUCUGUCCCAGAAUGGGGGAUAACAGAUGGAAACAUCUGCUAAUACCGCAUAAGACCACGAUGUCACAUGACAUUGAGGUAAAAGGAGCAAUCCGAUUUGGGGUGAGUUCGCGUCCGAUUAGCUAGUUGGCGGGGUAACGGCCCACCAAGGCGACGAUCGGUAGCCGGCCUGAGAGGGCGAUCGGCCACACUGGAACUGAGAAACGGUCCAGACUCCUACGGGAGGCAGCAGUGGGGAAUAUUGGGCAAUGGGCGAAAGCCUGACCCAGCAACGCCGCGUGAGGGAAGAAGGUUUUCGGAUUGUAAACCUCUGUCUUAGGGGACGAAAAAAAUGACGGUACCCUAAGAGGAAGCCCCGGCUAACUACGUGCCAGCAGCCGCGGUAAUACGUAGGGGGCAAGCGUUGUCCGGAAUGACUGGGCGUAAAGGGUGUGUAGGCGGCCGAUUAAGUCUGGAGUGAAAGUCCUGCUUUCAAGGUGGGAAUUGCUUUGGAGACUGGUUGGCUUGAGUGCGGAAGAGGCAAGUGGAAUUCCCAGUGUAGCGGUGAAAUGCGUAGAGAUUGGGAGGAACACCAGUGGCGAAGGCGACUUGCUGGGCCGUAACUGACGCUGAGGCGCGAAAGCGUGGGGAGCGAACAGGAUUAGAUACCCUGGUAGUCCACGCUGUAAACGAUGAAUGCUAGGUGUAGGGGGUAUCGACCCCUCCUGUGCCGCAGUUAACACAAUAAGCAUUCCGCCUGGGGAGUACGGCCGCAAGGUUGAAACUCAAAGGAAUUGACGGGGGCCCGCACAAGCAGCGGAGCAUGUCGUUUAAUUCGAUGCAACGCGAAGAACCUUACCAGGUCUUGACAUCCAACUAAACUCGCGGAGACGCGAGGUCCCUUCGGGGAGUUGAGACAGUGGGUGCAUGGUUGUCGUCAGCUCGUGUCGUGAGAUGUUGGGUUAAGUCCCGCAACGAGCGCACCCUUAUGAUCAGUUACUAACGGGUAAAGCCGAGACUCUGAUAGACUGCCGGGGAUACUCGGAGAGGUGGGGACGACGUCAUCAUCAUGCCCUUAUGACUGGGCUACACGUGCUACAUGCCGACUACAAGAGGGGCAAGACUGUGAGUCAACGGAAUCUCAAAAAGUCGUCCCAGUUUCGGAACUGGUGGGGCGUGCAACCCGCCCACCACGAAGUUGGAGAUGCU
rnacentral:rRNA from 1 species